rnacentral:rRNA from 1 species
GAUGAACGCUAGCUACAGGCUUAACACAUGCAAGUCGAGGGGUAACGAGAGGAAAGCUUGCUUUCCUUGUCGACGACCGGCGCACGGGUGAGUAACGCGUAUCCAACCUGCCCCAACUAGGGAAUAACCUUGCGAAAGUAAGACUAAUACCCUAUAAUUUCCUCAGAUGUCAUCUGACGAGGAAUAAAGAUUUAUCGGUUGUGGAUGGGGAUGCGUCUGAUUAGCUUGUUGGCGGGGUAACGGCCCACCAAGGCAACGAUCAGUAGGGGCUCUGAGAGGAAGGUCCCCACAUUGGAACUGAGACACGGUCCAAACUCCUACGGGAGGCAGCAGUGAGGAAUAUUGGUCAAUGGGCGGAAGCCUGAACCAGCCAAGUAGCGUGCAGGAUGACGGCCCUAUGGGUUGUAAACUGCUUUUAUACAGGAAUAAAGUUAGCCACGUGUGGUUAUUUGUAGGUACUGUAUGAAUAAGGACCGGCUAAUUCCGUGCCAGCCGCCGCCGUAA